GAUGUGGCUCAGUGGUAGGGUGCUUGCCUAAUGUGUGAAGCCCUGGGUUCAAUCCCCAGUACA
rnacentral:tRNA from 1 species